rnacentral:rRNA from 1 species
UUUUGGACAUCAUGGCGAACUGCUCAGUAACACGUAGCUAACCUACCCUCAGGUCCGGGAUAAUCUCGGGAAACUGAGGCUAAUACCGGAUAGGUGAAGGUGACUGGAAUGUCCCUUCAUCUAAAGCUCCGGCGCCUGAGGAUGGGGCUGCGGCGGAUUAGGUUGUUGUGAAGGUAACGUCUUCACAAGCCGAUAAUCCGUACGGGCCUUGAGAGAGGGAGCCCGGAGAUGGAUUCUGAGACAAGAAUCCAGGCCCUACGGGGCGCAGCAGGCGCGAAAAUUUCCCAAUGCGCGCAAGCGUGAGGAAGGGAUCCGGAGUGUCUUCUCAUCUUUUGGGAAGACUUUUGCGGAGUGUAAAAAGCUCCGCGAAUAAGUGGUGGGUAAGACGGGUGCCAGCCGCCGCGGUAAUACCCGCGCCACGAGUGGUGACCACGUUUAUUGGGCUUAAAGCGUCCGUAGCCGGUUCAGCAAGUCUCUAGUGAAAUCCCACAGUAGACUGUGGGGCUUGCUAGAGAUACUGCUGAACUUGGGACCGGGAGAGGUCGGGGGUACUCCAGGGGUAGGGGUAAAAUCCUGUAAUCCUUGGGGGACCACCUGUGGCGAAGG